AUUUUAUGAUGAAGGAAACUGGAACACAACCGCUUGAACCUCUCCCAAUACUCAUAUAGUGAAUCCCCCGAAUAUUGCCUUAUACCACAGAUCUCUUUUCUGAAGCU